rnacentral:rRNA from 1 species
GAACGAACGCUGGCGGCGUGCCUAACACAUGCAAGUCGAACGAGAAAGGGGCUUCGGCUCCGAGUAAAGUGGCGCACGGGUGAGUAACACGUGGGUAACCUGCCUCUAAGAUUGGGAUAACUCGUCGAAAGAUGAGCUAAUACCGAAUAAGACCACAGUUCCCGCGGGAACAGGGGUCAAAGGUAGCCUCUGCUUGCAAGCUAUCACUUAGAGAUGGGCCUGCGCACCAUUAGCUAGUUGGUAGGGUAACGGCCUACCAAGGCAAAGAUGGUUAGCUGGUCUGAGAGGAUGAUCAGCCACACUGGAACUGAGACACGGUCCAGACUCCUACGGGAGGCAGCAGUGGGGAAUAUUGCGCAAUGGGCGAAAGCUUGACGCAGCAACGCCGCGUGAGUGAUGAAGGCCUUCGGGUCGUAAAGCUCUGUCGGGAGGAACGAAUGCUCCUGAGGUUAACAGCCUCGGGAGGGGACGGUACCUUCAAAGGAAGCACCGGCUAACUCUGU